AACGUUGUUGCUUCUCCACGUCAUCCUCUCUCCCAUACACCUUCUCCAACCCAACAUUUUUUCUCUGCAUAAACAAAUUUAUUAUUCUCUUUAUCUCUCUCCCAACCCACUAAUCCAUAAUACAUUCACACAACAAAUGCAACUGAGUUAUUUUGUUUUUCUGAACCAAAUCCUUCUAACCCAAAUGUUUUAUUCUUAAAUUUUCCUUCUUACAGAAGGUUUGUGACCCGUCGUUUCGGUGAUAUAUGAAAUACCAAUUUGGUUUUCCCUCUGUCAAUUUCACUUCUUCGAGCCAACUUUCUUUCUUGGAGCACUACUCCCUUUCUUCGUUUCCCAAUCCACUUGAGUCUGAAAAAAUUGUUUCUCCUUUGCUCGUUUGGUGGUGGUGAGGUGGCUUCGAGCUCGUUUGGUGGUGGUGAGGUGGCUUCGAGCUCGUUUGGUCGUCUGAGGAGGAUGUUGGAGUCUCUACACAAGGCUCAGUGGUGCGUUUCUGUCAUCUUUGUUAGGGGUUUAGUCUACGGUUGAGGGGUUUUCGUUGACGACUAUUCUAAGGUAAAGGCUUACUUGUUAUCUUUUGUUUUGUUGUCGAGGAGGUUGUCGUCGAGGUAGGGUGUCGACAAUCCCUACUGUGGAGAUUUUGUGCUAUGUGAGCGAGGUUUAUCUAAAGCAUCUUGGUGGAGGUUUUGUGUUGUGUUUCUUCUCCUACUGUCAAGGUAAGUAGGUUUCUGAUUGAACAUGAAUGUGUUGAGCCCCUAUUCUUGGUAACAGGGAGUUUAAUGAUUAAUAUUUCUUGGUGUUACGUUUUUCUAAUGUAAUUUAUCUAUUAUUGUACAAGGUUUUAGGGUUUCGAUCAGGGGCUGAGCACAAAACGUGUGGAAGGUUCCAACACAGUGGGUUAAAGUUGGUUGCAAAAGGGCUACACUCAAGUGUCCAACAGUUCAUCAUUUCCAAGUAGGUAAAGUUCAUCCUCUUGUGUUUGCCAUGUUCAUUGUGUUCUGUUAAUUGCCUUAUGAACAGAGAGUGAAUUAUAAUUGAAUUUGGAUUGUAAAGUUUGCAAUUUGAGCAAUUUGAGCAUGUAUGAAUUGCCUAUUUUGAUGAUAGCCUUGAUGGGAAAUAAAUUGUGCAAUUUGAGCAUGGAAACUAAUGUUGAUGUUGUUUUAGUUUGCUGCUAAUUGGUCUAUCUAAAAGACUAUAGCCUUAAUUGAUUAAUCCUCCCCCAAAAUAACCAUCCCCCGACUCUUUUCUGGCCACUGAUGGCCUGGACCGACCGGUCGUCCUGGAUUAUGGCGAUCGGCCUCAGACCGCUCGAUAACCACUCCUCACGUUCGUCCCCCAAAGGACUCGUCAUCUAACCUGCAACCCACCAACAUCUUGAGGUCUUGUACAGACUCGACCAUCGUCCCCUUCUGUUUGGAUGCUGCCAAACGCUCAACGUAGGUUUCAAACCUUAUCACUAGAGCUUCCUUCAAACCAUCCCAAGAACGAUUCUUGACUUUCUCCUUCCAAGCUCUGAACCAGUAACCCGCGCUCCCCUCCAUAGUGAAUUCUGCUAGGCGCACCCUUUCUCCCUCUACCACACCUUGCAACUUGAAGAACUUCUCUACCUUGGAUACCUACCCUAACAGAUCAAACCCUUCGAAAGUGGGUAGUUCUACCCUUUUCUUCCCGCAGGGUUGCACUUGGCGUUCAUCCCCUCUCUCCUUCAUCUUCCUCUCGUCGGUCCCAAUGUUGGCCUUCCUAGUUGUGGCCUCGACCACCCAACCUCCUUAUGAUUUCUCGCAAAUCUUGGCAUAUUGCUUUAUAAUCUUGGCAUAUUGUUGCAUAAUCUGGUUGCAGCGCUCCUUUCUGCGCCUUCAUUCUAUCAAUCGCAAUUUCCUUCACCCCCACACAAUUCCGACGACAUGUCUCGAUAUGGCAGUUUCUUGAAACGGCAGGUUCUGGAAUCUGGCGCCCCCACUUCGAAACGACAAUUUCUUGGUAACGUUUUUAUCCCUUCUUGAUUUUCUGACACUUGUCUCCUAAGGAUACUCGGCAACGCUCCUGAUGAUUUUGCAAUUUCUUGAUAAUCCGACAACUCCUUGAUCCUUCACCCCCACUUCAAUAACGGCAAGUCGAACCAAUUUGUUAGAUUCCUGGGUUUGGAACCUAACGAGAACUCACUCAAAAGAUAGAAACAGAAAGAAAGAAUAGGUCUUCUAUAUUAUUCACAAUAAAAGAAAGCUAUUUUACAAUGACUGGGUUGGGAGCAUAACCUUCCUGGCUGAGGGCAUAACCCUACACAACAAAAAACUCGAUACCCCCUGACACAUAACCGAGUCUUAUUUAUAGAAUUCCUCCACCUUCUAUUUUAAACCAUUAAGUCCUCUCACCCUGUAUCCUAUCACUCAUGGUUCCCUCCCAAUUGUAGGGCAUCAAUUGUAUAUAGAUGGUUAAAAUAUGCCAAACAAAGAAUAAAGUCAUACAAGCAAUGUGUUAUACUAAAAGGUGAAUGGAGUGUACAUCUCAACAAAAGAAUACCAAUCCACCGCUCAAUUAUGCACUUUCUUCAAUUUAGUUUUGCAGCUUGUCUACAAAGUUUCCAGUGGUCUAUCAAGGCCGUUUCGGUCUCCGACAAGGGGGCUGCAAUGCAACAACAAAUUCCUAACUCAAAAACCAACAUACGAGAGCACAAGCCCAUGUUGCAUGAAGGAGGCACAGGUACAUAUUCGUCCCUCUACCCAAACAACCAAACAAAAUCAAAAUAUAUCCUUAUUAAAGAAGUGUAUGAUCAAUUCAUCAAACUUGAUUAAAAGUAUGCAAAUGUAAUUUCUUCUAUAAAACAUGGAACAUAGGCAACCUUUUUUAUGGAGGAAGAAUAAAGAAACAAAAAAUGUUUUUAAAAAUCACUCCUCCCUCUCCCCGAAAGUUUACUUCAUGUUCUGUAUUUCAGAGUAGCAAAGCAUUUAAAAAAAAAUCAGGUGCUAAGAACCAAAACAGUGCGUGAAAAAUUCAACAUACCGAGCAAGUCUGCAAAUGAACCUGUCAAAAG
rnacentral:lncRNA from 1 species